AGUGCAUCCUCAUCCAGUGGUAUUUCCUAUGGCCAGUCUGUCCCUUCAAGCAGCUCUGAUUCCAGUAAGAAGGUAGUGGUCGUUGCCAACAGCAACCCUUUUCCACCUGUGCGUCAUACCUUCCCCCAGAGUUUGGGAAGUUCUGCUACAAGGAUCAUAGUACAGAGUGGACAAAGGCAGCAAAGCAGCAGCAGCAGCAGCAUUUA